UCCCUUUUCCUUUCUAUUCAUUUUGAUUUGUUUUUUAAUUUAAAGUGUUUGAUUUCGUGUUUGAAUUUUCGAGAUUGACAAUUCGAUAUGGAAUUAUCUUUUCUUUGAUUUACUUGUAUGCAAUCGUAGGUUUUGAUGAACAGAAAUGAACCAAAAAAAAAGGACGCAGUGUAGUUUCACAUAGGAUUUUGGGAUUUAGGGCUUUUAGUAAAGUGGUUUUUGAGUGAAAUUGUUGAAAAAAAGAGGAAAAAGUGACAACGGAAUCGCUCACAGGGUUUUACUAUGGGAAUAGUUUAGGUUCUAUUAUGAAUAAGUUCCAAUCAGAUGCUAUGAACACCAGUUCCAAGAUGAUUCCGAUCGGUGGUUACUUUGUACCGCCGCUGCACAGGAUAUUGCCGGAGAAUUCCAGUACCACUUCCCCUGCUUUGAUCCAACCCGGAAACCUUUCUGGCUCUUCACUCGAUUCAGUUGCAGGGUUCCAGCAUGAUAUGGGGUUUGCUACUGAAUGGUCUACUGAGGAACAAUAUAUAUUGAAGGAUGGCCUUGAAAAAUAUAAAGAGGAACCAAAUAUUAUGAAGUACAUAAAGAUUGCGGCUGUCUUGCCUGAUAAAACCGUACGUGAUGUUGCAUUGAGGUGCCGGUGGAUGCAAAGAAAGCGAAGGAAACCUGAAGAACUUAAUGCUGGAAAAAAGGUGACCAAUAGGAAGGAUAAGCAGGUGGAAUCAACUUUGACGAUGAAUAUGCCUACAGCUCUGCCGCAAAACAUGGCUGCAUCUCCAUUCAUGAUGCACCAUCUGGACCAGAUCAAAAGAAAGCCUUCUGAAGGAAUAAGUGGUACAACAAUUAUGCAUCUCUUGAAGCAAAAUGCUCAAGUUCUUAGUCAAAUCGCAUCCAAUCUUUCUUUGUAUAAGCUACAGGAUAACAUUGAUCUCUUUUGUCAUGCAAGGAACAACAUUACCGCUGUCCUAAAAGACAUGGCAGAUAUGCCAGGUUUAAUGAGUCGGAUGUUGCCAUUGCCCGUAUCUGUCAAUGAGGAGGAUUUAGAAAAUAGCAUCUUGCCUCAUGCAACUCAGAACAAUAAAGAGAAUAACAACCUGAUCUUAUCCCCAACAAUUAGGAAUUCGACUACUUGUGGAACCCCGGAUCCGGUUGCUCAUGCUACUUUUGGACAAAGAUCAAGAUGGUCGGGGGAGGGGGUUUGAAUUUUAGACCUCGAAAUGGUGGAAAACUAGUUGCUCAACAAGGCAGUAAGUGAUCUUGUGUUGGUCAUGAUGGCAUACUUUGUGCACUUGUGUUACCAUGUUUUGUUUGUUCUUCUUCCAUCUCCAGUCGAUUUUUGGCACAGAAGGCGGAUCCGUUUCAAGGAGUCAAGGAGCUGAUAGGGAAUUCCAGAAUUGCCGAGAUUGAAGUCGGAUUAUAUCAGCUGUUCCUCUCUAGGCAAGCUCUGAACGGUGCCUGACCACCGUCCCGGUGAAUGUUCACUACUAUUCGAUGAAACUUGAGCCUCGGCCCUUACGUCUCUGAUCAUCUUCAAAACUUCCCGCAUCAUGGGACGGUUCUCGGGCACAAGGGCAAUGCAAGCCAUUGCUAUGUUCAAAAGGGAUUGAAGCUUCCCCUCGGACGUUUCGUUACCUGACGUAGGUUCGUCCCCGGAUUCGGUCUCUUCCUCUCGGACCGAUCUUACCCAUUGAGGGAUAUCCGAGCCGUGUUCUUGAACAAGGUCUUGGAAGGGAGUUUUGCCCGUUAGGAGUUCAAGUAGGAGAACUCCGAAGCUAUAAACAUCGGCCGGUUGAGUCGAUGCUUUUCGGAUGUCCCGACAUUCAGGUGCCCUAUAGAAAAAAGUGGCCGCACCUAGCUCUUCUGGUGACUCGGGGUCUCGGAAUAACGUGAGACCGUAAUCCGUAAGGCAUGAUUCGAAGUCGGGGCCUAAUAAAACGUUCGAGGAUUUUAAAUUCCCGUGAGUUAAGCCUGGAUUUUGGUGAAUGUAAAGUAAUCCAGAAGCUAAAUCCUCUGCAAUUUUAAGACAUGAAGUCCAAUGAAGAGGCUUUCCACCGCCAUUGGUUCUUGUUCCUACAAAGAAAAAAGACCAGUUAAAAACGCCUAUGAAACAUGUAAUUUUCAUGCUCCUAAUUGAAAAUCAAUCCGGAUGCCUUGUACUAAAAGUCAGAUUACAUUUUACUCCUUUUAUUUAAAAAUUAGAUAAAUUAGUCCCUGUAUUAA